rnacentral:lncRNA from 1 species
CUGCUACAUACAUGAUAGAUGGCCAUGUGAUGCUUAAUGAAUAAAUGAACAAAUGGAGUAGGACCACCCUGAACUCUUGUUUCUAUGGAGAAGAUCUGAGAGAAGAUUGUCCUGCACAGUUCAAUAUUAAAUGGAGUUUCUACCCUAGCAUGAAAGGAGGAAGAGAGAAAAUCGGAUCCAAGAGAAAUUCGGCUCCAACAUUCCCCAAAUAUUAGAGUGGUUAUGUUGAAGAUGUAAAUAUUCUCCCUGCUGUGAGUAUUACUGCAGCUGCCCAAAGAUGCUUUAUUUUAAAGAUGUGGAUACAGGAAGAUAAAAGCAUCAGAAACACUGCAUGGGUAAAAAGAAAGAAUGGACUAAAACAGAGGAAGAAAAUCCAGAAAAGGAGGACUCCAAUCCAGAUUAAAGGAAUUUCCAAAAUGGUGGCUGAGACAAAACCUGGGGUUCAAGUCAUGUUACAGAGAUGGUGUUCCAGAUUAGUGCAGAAUAGUGGGCUCAAGAAGAAAUGCCUUCAAGAAAAGAUUGAAACCAACACACUACAAGUUUGACAUUGGAAAAGUUGAAUUGAAGAGUUGUUGGAAGGUUCUGAAGACCUCAAAUGGACUGAGCCACACUACCAGCAUCCAGCAUCCAUGGUUCUCCAGUCUGCAGAUGGCCUAUUAUGGGACUUUUCAGUCUUCAUAAUUAUAUGAGAGAAAGAAAAUGAAAAGGAUUUGUAAACUAUAAAUCUCUAAACAGAUGGGAGGAAAGGAAUUGAUGAAACAAUAAAUUUAUUGAUGAAACAAUAAAAAUAAACAUAAAGAACCAAAGGUAGGUUUGGACAUUCAUUAAUUUACUCUUGUAAUAUUUAUUGAGUAGCUUGUAUGUGGUAGGUACCAUACUCAGGGCGGGAGAUUAGUGAUGAACAAGACAGAUGAGCUCCCACAACUCACCACAUCUUGCUGCCAGACAGGAGAGACAUAAGUUACACAUGUAAGCAAACAGUUAAUAUCCCUAUAAAAAGUGCUAUGGAGAAAAGAAGCAGGACACUAAGAGAGAAAGAAACAAGGAAAACCAACACAGUAAAUUUUUCUGGCUGAGGAAACUAAGCCUGGAGGGUGGGAUGGAGUUAGACCAGCAAAUAAAGGGGUAUGCAGGAAUGUCCAAAGCAAAAACAACUCAAGGAUGACAAGUGUGGCAAGAGCACUUAACAGAAACCUGUGAUAGCAGACAUGUAAGCUAUGAAAGGGGUUUGACUUUGAUUCUAAGUGCAAGGAAAGCCACUGAAGGCUUUUAAGCAGGAGAGUGACGGGAUUUAGAAUUAUGCUUUAGAAAAUUCAUUUUUACUCUUUGAUUGUGAGGGUCAAGAAUGGAAAGAGGAAGCUACUGCAGAGGACCAGGAGAGUGAUGAUGAUGGCUUAGAUUAAGGGACAGGCUUUUCUGUCUAGUUUUCUGUCUAGUAAAACUAGACAGAAACUAGAGCCUUCUUGCUUGUUCCCUGAUAAGAUAAGCAAUGCUAAUAAACUAAGUCUAAAUAGAACGUAUGCCUUUUCUUGCAUUUCAAUGUAUUUUAAUUUCUUUGUUAAUAACAAUUAACCACUUGUACAGAAGAGUCGAGGCAUUGAGGUGUAAGAGAACUAGAAAUAAUUCUCUCAUAAGCAGUAGAAAUAGUAGGAAUUAGGUUCAAGACACAUGUUGGAGGUGGAAUUAAGAGGAUUUGUUGAUAGAAUAAUAAUAAUUGGGAAGGAGAAAAAGGUAAUUCUAAGGUUUCUAGCUUGAGCAACUAGGAGGGGGAUUCUGCUAUUUACAGAAAUGGGGAAGCUGGAACAUGUUUCUAAGGGAAAUAAAAAUAUACCUUUAUGGCAUGUUAAAUUUUGACAUCCAAAUGAAACUAUCAACAACGCAGUUAGCUAGGCAAUCAAAGAAUGAGCUAAAGAAAUAUGAGAGUCAUGACAGUACAGAUUCAUUCUUCCAACUGCCCACUGGCCUAGAUUGGGUGAAAAGCCAUCAACCCAUGUCACUUUAGGCUGCCAAGCUUAGACAUGCCAUGCAUGAUUGGCCGAGUAAGUGGUUUUCUUUUCAGGCCAGGAUCAAGCCUUUUUCAUUUACUUUCAAAUG